rnacentral:rRNA from 1 species
ACGUUUCGAAAGGAACGCUAAUACCGCAUACGUCCUACGGGAGAAAGCAGGGGACCUUCGGGCCUUGCGCUAUCAGAUGAGCCUAGGUCGGAUUAGCUAGUUGGUCAGUGUAAUGGCUCACCAAGGCGACGAUCCGUAACUGGUCUGAGAGGAUGAUCAGUCACACUGGAACUGAGACACGGUCCAGACUCCUACGGGAGGCAGCAGUGGGGAAUAUUGGACAAUGGGCGAAAGCCUGAUCCAGCCAUGCCGCGUGUGUGAAGAAGGUCUUCGGAUUGUAAAGCACUUUAAGUUGGGAGGAAGGGUUGUAGAUUAAUACUCUGCAAUUUUGACGUUACCGACAGAAUAAGCACCGGCUAACUCUGUGCCAGCAGCCGCGGUAAUACAGAGGGUGCAAGCGUUAAUCGGAAUUACUGGGCGUAAAGCGUGUGUAGGUGGUUCGUUAAGUUGGAUGUGAAAUCCCCGGGCUCAACCUGGGAACUGCAUCCAAAACUGGCGAGCUAGAGUAUGGUAGAGGGUGGUGGAAUUUCCUGUGUAGCGGUGAAAUGCGUAGAUAUAGGAAGGAACACC